AAUGGGCGCAAGCCUGAUGCAGCGACGCCGCGUGAGGGAUGGAGGCCUUCGGGUUGUGAACCUCUGUCGCCGGUGAUGUAGGCUCUGCUUUGUGGGUGGGGUUGACGGUAGCCGGGGUAUGAAGUGCCGGCUAACUACGUGCCAGCAGCCGCGGUAAUACGUAGGGCGCGAGCGUUGUCCGGAAUUAUUGGGCGUAAAGAGCUCGUAGGCGGCUGGUCGCGUCUGUCGUGAAAUCCUCUGGCUUAACUGGGGGCGUGCGGUGGGUACGGGCCGGCUUGAGUGCGGUAGGGGAGGCUGGAAUUCCUGGUGUAGCGGUGGAAUGCGCAGAUAUCAGGAGGAACACCGGUGGCGAAGGCGGGUCUCUGGGCCGUGUACUGACGCUGAGGAGCGAAAGCGUGGGGAGCGAACAGGAUUAGAUACCCUGGUAGUCCAUGCUGUAAACGUUGGGCACUAGGUGUGGGGGGUCUUUCCGGGUCUUCCGCGCCGUAGCUAACGCAUUAAGUGCCCCGCCUGGGGAGUACGGCCGCAAGGCUAAAACUCAAAGGAAUUGACGGGGGCCCGCACAAGCGGCGGAGCAUGCGGAUUAAUUCGAUGCAACGCGAAGAACCUUACCA
rnacentral:rRNA from 1 species